AAUAUUACAAAAAGGCAUCAAUAAGGACUACCACAAAUUACACAUUUUAAAAAAAAAACAAUAAAAACUUCAGCAUCCAAACAUCUGAGGGAACAUCUUCCAUAACAUCACACACAACAACUACAACUUCAUCACAACACACCUUGAAAAAAUCAGAAAUAUCCUUUGGGAUAUUAACCACAAACUCCUUUGUUUGCUAUAGGUUCUCAUGAAUAC
rnacentral:lncRNA from 1 species